rnacentral:rRNA from 1 species
AACGAACGCUGGCGGCAGGCCUAACACAUGCAAGUCGAGCGGACCCUUCGGGGUUAGCGGCGGACGGGUGAGUAACGCGUGGGAAUAUGCCCUUCUCUACGGAAUAGUCCUGGGAAACUGGGGGUAAUACCGUAUACGCCCUUUGGGGGAAAGAUUUAUCGGGGAAGGAUUAGCCCGCGUUGGAUUAGGUAGUUGGUGGGGUAAUGGCCUACCAAGCCGACGAUCCAUAGCUGGUUUGAGAGGAUGAUCAGCCACACUGGGACUGAGACACGGCCCAGACUCCUACGGGAGGCAGCAGUGGGGAAUCUUAGACAAUGGGGGCAAGCCUGAUCUAGCCAUGCCGCGUGAGUGAUGAAGGCCUUAGGGUUGUAAAGCUCUUUCAGCUGGGAAGAUAAUGACGGUACCCGCAGAAGAAGCCCCGGCUAACUCCGUG